GCGCAUGCCCGGCCCGGGUCAGCGGGUCAGCGCGUCUGACUGGCUGCGGGGCCGCGGGGACUCGCGGUAAAUGGCGCUGGUGGCGCGAAAGUUGAGUGUCGGGUGCGCAGAGCUUUCGGGGCGAUGUGUAGCGACUUCCACAGGGCUGAGUCUGGGACGCAGGGUGUGGAGCGCCCGAGAGGAGCCAGCCUUUGUGUGGACCUCCACACAAAGGCCAUCGGAUAAAGGCCCUCGGAUAGAGGACAUCGGAUAAAGGAACUCACGUCGCAUUACAAGGUGGACUUUGCCUGGAGACCCUCAGUGCCGUUGAAGGGGGCUGUCCGAGGGGCGACAGGGACGUUAACUUCCAGGUGGCAGGUGUGUGAUGUCCUCCUUCCCAUGAGAAUGAUGUCACCGAGCUGGCAAAGGCGGGUCCACACAAGGGAGGCAAAGACGCUGACAACCUACAGGCAAACUGGGGAAAUGUUUGCAGCUGAGUGAAAGUGACCAGCCUCCCAGAGGCGAGGAAGGCUGGACUCUUACUCCAACACGACUGGUACCCUUACAAGAAGAGACACAUACACAGAGAACACUAUGUGAGGGCACAGAGAUGCAGAGAAGAUGGCCAUUGAAGUCAUGUACCUACAGCCAAGGUCCCCAAGGAUCAUGGACAACCACUGGAAGCUGAGAGGCAGGGAACGAUCAAAUUCUUCCCUAAAGCCUACCGCAAGGAGCCAGCCCCGCCAACACCUUGACUUUGGUCUUCGAGCUACCAGGGCUUUGCCUGCCUGCCCUUUUUGUGUUUAUCUUGUUAAGUACUGACAGGCUUAAAAUAUAGACCCCUAGAGGGCAAGAUUCAUAUCUAUAUGGAGUGUGCUGCAGAACAUACACUCAUGCCUCAUACUCUUCUGCACAAAUUAUUUUUGACGACACUCUGUGCCUUUCUGACUUUAUAAUUUGAGUAACUUCAGCUACGUGACUCCUGGGUUUUUUUUUGCCACUGCGGUCUCAGAGCUCCAAAAUUUGGAUCGGAGGCAUGGAAACACCUUUGGAAAACCUUUAUGUGAAACAGGAAGCACAAUUCAAAGUUUGUGCUCUGGCUAUUGGGAGAAAUGGAAGCGAACGAGAGCUGGGAAGCCAGAACACGCAGCGUUAGGCUUCCACCGUGUUGCGAGGACGGAAGGGAAUCCUAAUGGGAAGGUGCCUAGUGUGUCCGGCCUAGAGGCGAUGCUCCCGAAGUGAUCGCUCGUCCCAAGCCGUCUGCCGAGGCUUCCCAGGUCCUGAAUUCUCCCCCAGUUCACGUGUGCUGAUCGCCAGUGAAUGGAAAGGAGAGCACAGAGGAGUUGCCGCCCCAUCCGAAGAAACAGUCCCGAAGUCCGCAUUUGCCACUAUGCUUUCCGAGAAAGCGCUCGUCUCCCAUUGCUAAUUCUAGCCCCGUUUCCCCUUGACCCUGUAAACGCAUCGGGAGCUGGCCCAGAAACCCUCCGAUUUGCGCGCAUCGCAACACGCUGCACGUUACAAUCAAGUUGUUGGGUUUUUA